UUCCAUUACCAUUAAGUAAAAUUCAGUAAUAUUGUUUUUUUUUGUCAAACAGUUACGAGGUUUUGUUAUUUAAAAUCUUAAAACUAUCAUUAAACUUACGAGGUUUUGUCUCAUAAAAAUGCAGUUUACGAGGUUUUGUAACUUAAAAUCUUACUUAUGAGGUUUUUGUAGAUGUCGCUAGUACCAUUAAAUUUAAAUAUUAAAUACUUACAAGCUUUCGUAGAUUAAAAGAUAUGUAAAAGUAUAAACCAACAAAGUAUAAAAGUAGUAAUGGAC
rnacentral:lncRNA from 1 species